AACGAACGCUGGCGGCAGGCCUAACACAUGCAAGUCGAACGCCGUAGCAAUACGGAGUGGCAGACGGGUGAGUAACACGUGGGAACAUACCCUUCGGUUCGGAAUAACUCAGGGAAACUUGAGCUAAUACCGGAUACGUCCGCGAGGAGAAAGAUUCAUCGCCGGAGGAUUGGCCCCGCGUCUGAUUAGCUUGUUGGUGAGGUAACGGCUCACCAAGGCGACGAUCAGUAGCUGGUCUGAGAGGAUGAUCAGCCACAUUGGGACUGAGACACGG
rnacentral:rRNA from 1 species